rnacentral:rRNA from 1 species
CUACGGGGGGCACCAGUGAGGAAUAUUGCACAAUGGGGGGAACCCUGAUGCAGCAACGCCGCGUGGAGGAUGACGCAUUUCGGUGUGUAAACUCCUUUUAUAUGUCAAGAAAAUGACGGUAGCAUAUGAAUAAGCACCGGCUAACUCCGUGCCAGCAGCCGCGGUAAUACGGAGGGUGCAAGCGUUACUCGGAAUCACUGGGCGUAAAGGACGCGUAGGCGGGUUGGAAAGUCAGGUGUGAAAUCCUACAGCUUAACUGUAGAACUGCACUUGAAACUUCUAAUCUAGAGUAUGGGAGGGGGAGAUGAAAUUAGUGGUGUAGGGGUAAAAUCCGUAGAUAUCACUAGGAAUACCUAAAGCGAAGGCGAUCUCCUGGAACAUUACUGACGCUAAGGCGUGAAAGCGUGGGGAGCAAACAGGAUUAAUACCCUAGUAGUC